rnacentral:rRNA from 1 species
UGAGGAAUCUUCGGCAAUGGGCGCAAGCCUGACCGAGCAACGCCGCGUGGAGGACGACGGCCUUCGGGUUGUAAACUCCUUUUCUUGGGGACGAGGAAGUACGGACGGUACCCGAGGAAGAAGCCUCGGCUAACUACGUGCCAGCAGCCGCGGUAAUACGUAGGAGGCGAGCGUUGUCCGGAGUUACUGGGCGUAAAGGGUGCGCAGGCGGCCCGGCAGGUGGGUGGUGAAAGCUCCUGGCUCAACUGGGAGAGGGCCAUGCAGACGGUCGGGCUUGAGGGUCGCAGAGGGGCGUGGAAUUCCGGGUGGAGCGGUGAAAUGCGUAGAGAUCCGGAGGAACACCGACGGCGAAGGCAGCGCCCUGGACGACGCCUGACGCUCAGGCACGAAAGCUGGGGGAGCGAACAGGAUUAGAUACCCCUGUAGUCC